rnacentral:tRNA from 1 species
GUUUUAAUAAUUUAAUAAAAAUAUUGGUCUUGUAAACCAAAAAUAAGAAGCUUCUUUUAAAACU